GGAAGGGCCAUAGCUCAGUGGUAGAGCAGUUGCUUUGCAUGCAGACUGUCCCAGGCUUAAUGCCUGGCAUUUUCA